rnacentral:misc_RNA from 1 species
UCCGGUUUGGCACCGGCAGUCUCCCAUGAGUCCCCGGCAUGACCCGCUGGCAACAUGGGACAGGGGUUGCGCUCGUUGCGCCACUUAAGGCAACACCUCACGGCACGAGCUGACGACAGCCAUGCAGCACCUGUGCGGGCUCCCGAAGGAGCGCCGUGUUUCCGUGGCUUUUCCUGCGUAGUUCAGCCCAGGUAAGGUUCUUCGCGUCACAUCGAAUUAAACCACAUGCUCCACCGCUUGUGCGGGCCCCCGUCAAUUCCUUUGAGUUUCAGCCUUGCGGCCGUACUCCCCAGGCGGGGCACUUACUGCGUUAGCGACGGCACCGGGAGGGUCGCUCCCCCCGACGCCUAGUGCCCAUCGUUUACGGCGUGGACUAC